GUUUACAGCCAUACCACCCUGAACAUGCCCGAUCUCAUCUGAUCUCGGAAGCUAAGCAGGGUCUGGCCUGGUUAGUUCUUGGAUGGGAAUAAGAGUAGUUGAGAGAGAAGUCGUAGUCAUGUUGGUA
rfam:Pan troglodytes isolate Yerkes chimp pedigree #C0471 (Clint) chromosome 14, whole genome shotgun sequence.